UACGUAGGUGGCAAGCGUUGUCCGGAUUUAUUGGGUUUAAAGGGUGCGUAGGCGGCUUUUUAAGUCAGUGGUGAAAUCCGAUCGCUUAACCAUCGAACUGCCAUUGAUACUGAGAGUCUUGAGUAUAGUUGAGGUAGGCGGAAUUGACAGUGUAGCGGUGAAAUGCAUAGAUAUUGUCAAGAACACCAGCUGCGAAGGCAGCUUACUAAAGUAUAACUGACGCUGAGGCACGAAAGUGCGGGGAUCAAACAGG
rnacentral:rRNA from 1 species